rnacentral:rRNA from 1 species
AUCGAACGCUGGCGGCAGGCCUAACACAUGCAAGUCGAACGAGUGGCGGACGGGUGAGUAAUGUCUGGGAAACUGCCUGAUCGAGGGGGAUAACUACUGGAAACGGUAGCUAAUACCGCAUACCAUCAGAUGUGCCCAGAUGGGAUUAGCGUGUUGGUGGGGGAACGGCUCACCAAGGCGACGAUCCCUAGCUGGUCUGAGAGGAUGACCGGCCAAACUGGAACUGGGCCACGGUCCAGACUCCUACGGGGGGCAGCAGUGGGGAAUAUUACACAAUGGACGCAAGCCUGAAGCAGCCAUGCCGCGUGAGGGAAGAAGGCCUUCGGGUUGUAAAAUACUUUCAGCGGGGAGGCGUUACCCGAAGAGAAAGCACCGGCUAACUCCGUGCCAGCAGCCGCGGUAAUUC